AGUUUUUAGCCUGCUGAAGCAAGAUGGAAGUUUAUUCAGCAGAAUUCACCUGGAAGAGACAGGACCUGGGCACACACCGGGCGAAGACCAUGUGGAGAAUGCAGUGAGAAGGCAGCAUCUAGAAUUUAAGGAGAAAGAUCUCAGAGGAAACCAACCCUGCUGAUACCUUGCUUGGUCUUGGACUUCUGGCUUCCAAAAUUAGGAGAAAAUAAAUUUCUGUUGUUUAUA